AUACGUAGGGGGCGAGCGUUGUCCGGAAUGAUUGGGCGUAAAGGGCGCGUAGGCGGCUUUGCAAGUCAGUAGUGGAAGUCCAUUUUUCAAGGAUGGAAGUGCUACAGAAACUGCGGAGCUUGAGUGCAGGAGAGGUUAUCGGAAUUCCGGGUGUAGCGGUGAAAUGCGUAGAGAUCGGGAGGAACACCAGUGGCGAAGGCGGGUAACUGGACUGCAACUGACGCUGAGGCGCGAAAGUGCGGGGAGCAAACAGGAUUAGAUACCCUGGUAGUCCACACUGUAAACGAUGAAUGCUAGGUGUAGGAGGUAUCGACCCCUUCUGUGCCGCAGUAAACACAGUAAGCAUUCCGCCUGGGGAGUACGGUCGCAAGAUUAAAACUCAAAUGAAUUGACGGGG
rnacentral:rRNA from 1 species